AAACCAACAGGGAUUGCCUCAGUAACGGCGAGUGAAGCGGCAAGAGCUCAAAUUUGAAAUCGGUGCUUGAUGCACCGAGUUGUAGUUUGAAGGGAGGGCUCUGUGGAGUGGUGAGCAGCGAUGUUCCUUGGAAGAGGACGUGAGACAAGGUGAUAACCCUGUAGCUGUGAUCCGCAACGCGUAUGGAGCACUUCCGAAGAGUCGAGUUGUUUGGGAAUGCAGCUCUAAGUGGGUGGUAAACUCCAUCUAAAGCUAAAUACUAGCGAGAGACCGAUAGCGAACAAGUACAGUGAUGGAAAGAUGAAAAGAACUUUGAAAAGAGAGUGAAAGAGUGCGUGAAAUUGUUGAAAGGGAAGGAUAUUAGGUGAGACGGGGACGCGGGUUCUGUAUUUAUCUCUUGUAGAUUGUAUUAUGCCCACGUCCAGGCCGGUGUGGGUGGCGAGCGGGCUAUAAAAGCUACUCUUGGAACGUAGUUCUAGGAGCAGUCAAUUGCCCUCGCGCCACCAUGGACAGACGACACCGACACAAUGACCUAACAUCGC
rnacentral:rRNA from 1 species